rfam:Ictidomys tridecemlineatus contig010827, whole genome shotgun sequence.
GGGGAUAUAGCUCAGUUGGUAGAGUGCUUGCUUUGCAUGUAUAAGGAUCUGGGUUCAAUCCCCAGCACCA